rnacentral:lncRNA from 1 species
GAAAAAUGAAACAGAGUUGAACAACAGCCACCGCUGGGAGGUGAUAGCACCGCCGGGCGGAGAGACCUUCUAUGAUUACACUGCCACGAGCUUAAAGGUAACCGCCAAUGGGUGAAGAUGGAAUCGCAGCCAUCACCGGGCGGUGGACUCGUCAGUGGAAUUUAAAGAGAAUGCUUAAUUGGCAGUGCUGAGGGGUGGAUUAGGUGUCGUGCUUACCGUCGGGCGGUGUUAACCACUGUCAGGCGGUGUACUUAUGGGACUGG